UACGGAGGAGGCAAGCGUUAUCCGGAAUUAUUGGGCGUAAAGCGUCCGCAGGUGGCACCUCAAGUCUGCUGUCAAAGACCGGGGCUUAACCCCAGAAAGGCAGUGGAAACUGAAGUGCUAGAGUGCAGUAGGGGUAGAGGGAAUUCCCGGUGUAGCGGUGAAAUGCGCAGAUAUCAGGAGGAACACCUAUUGCGAAGGCAGCUCGCUGGGACGUAACUGACGCUGAGACGCGAAAAGCGUGGGGGAGCAAAACAGG
rnacentral:rRNA from 1 species